UUCAGAGGUCUCGAGCGUUGUUCGGAUUUACUGGGUGUAAAGGGGGCGCAGGCGGGAGAUUAAGUCGGCGGUGAAAUUUUGCAGCUCAACUGUAAAAGUGCCUUCGAAACUGGUUUCCUUGAGUGUGGAUGAAGUAGGCGGAAUUUGUGGUGUAGCGGUGAAAUGCAUAGAUAUCACGAGGAACUCCGAUCGCGUAGGCAGCCUACUAAACCAUAACUGACGCUCAUGCACGAAGGCGUGGGGAUCAAACAGGAUUAGAUACCCGU
rnacentral:rRNA from 1 species